rnacentral:tRNA from 1 species
GGAAGGUUGUCCGAGCGGCCGAUGGAGCUGGUCUUGAAAACCAGUGUGCGGUGACCCCGUACCGCGAGUUCGAAUCUCGCACCUUCCGCCA